rnacentral:rRNA from 1 species
AUUGAACGCUGGCGGCAGGCCUAACACAUGCAAGUCGAACGAGUGGCGGACGGGUGAGUAAUGUCUGGGCAACUGCCUGAUGGAGGGGGAUCACUACUGGAAACGGUAGCCAAAACCGCCUACACUAGGAUGUGCCCAGAUGGGAAUAGCUAGUAGGUGGGGUAAAGGCUCACCUAGGCGACGAUCCCUAGCUGGUGUGAGAGGAUGAACAGCCAAACUGGAACUGAGACACGGUCCAGACUCCUACGGGAGGCAGCAGUGGGGAAUAUUGCACAAUGGGCGCAAGCCUGAUGCAGCCAUGCCGCGUGUAUGAAGAAGGCCUUCGGGUUGUAAAGUACUUUAAGCGGGGAGGCGUUACCCGCAGAAGAAGCACCGGCUAACUCCGUGCCAGCAGCCGCGGUAAUAC